UACGGGGGGGGCAAGCGUUGUUCGGAAUUACUGGGCGUAAAGGGCUCGUAGGCGGCCAACUAAGUCAGACGUGAAAUCCCUCGGCUUAACCGGGGAACUGCGUCUGAUACUGGUUGGCUUGAAUCCGGGAGAGGGAUGUGGAAUUCCAGGUGUAGCGGUGAAAUGCGUUGAGAUCGGAAGGAACGCCCGUGGCGAAAGCGAGGUCCUGGGCUUCUACUGACGCUGAGACGCGAAAGCGUGGGGAGCAAACAGG
rnacentral:rRNA from 1 species